GAAAUACAAAAUCCAAUUAAUAAUGUUGAAUUGAAACUCUAUUAAUGUUACGCGCCCAUCUUUCCGGGUUCGCGAGGCCUCAAGAUUUUUCCCUUUUUUGUUAAAACCCUAAUAGGAUUUUUCUCUAAGAAUCAUGGAGCCCCAAUCUAAAAUUUCGAAGGUCGUCCAUGAAGGAGAGUUAUUCAAAACUGUUCGAAGGACACUUCAGAAGCUCUACAACUUGAAAUUGCUGAUUAUUGAGAAACCAUGAAGCUCGUGAGGAGGCGAUACAAGUGGUGGCUGGUGUGAAACUAAACCUCUGGUUGCCUUAAAAGGUAAGUUGACUCUGAGUUCAAAGAUUACUAAACUGUAUUCCAUUUUCUAUUUUGAUGUUUUUUGUAUUUUGUUUCAUUUGUUGACACUUUAUGACGUUGAGUACGUGGAGAAGAUUGAGUUGUUUUUUGGAAAUUUUAGAUGCAAGAAACGCCGCAUCGAACAAGAGGCAGCGGCGAGGUCGCCGGCUCUGGCGCUCGUUGUAAAACUUGUUGAUGGUUACCUUCCGAUGCGAAUCUCAAGCCGGAGAAAUUCUACAAUUUCGCCACCUCUUCCACGUAUCUGCCUUUGGCACGUCUGGUAUCCAUUCCUUUGGCACAUGUCAUGGUGUGUGGGUAUCCUCCUUUCUUUUGGAUCUAUACGAUUUUACCCCAUUUUUAUUUCGUCACUAUGUAAUGAUUGAAAUUUCAUAUUCUUGUCUUUGUCUCUUGUCUAUUAUUGAUAAAGGUCUUCGUGAUAAUAUCAAAGUAAUUUUUUUUUUCUCAUAUUAUUCAAGUUUGCUGUAGCUGUGUGCCAGAUGUAUAAUUUUCUUAUGUUAUGGCUCGUAAAUGAUGAAAAGUUCAUUCCUUUUCUUGGUCAACAUCUUUACUUUGUUUCUUUUUCUUGUAAAUAAUGAGAGAAAUAUACUAUUCUCAUUGUUGUUGUGAUAUUUACUUUUACAUUCUUGAAGGUUGUCGAUGGCACCACGAAUUGCCUGUACCAUCUAUUAGUUUGUAAAAUCAACCACGAAUUGCAUGUACUAUAUCUAUUAGUUUGUAAGAUCAAGUCGUUCAACUUACAAAAGAAAAUAUAAAUUUGGUUGUAUUCAGAGAGACUUGGGAGCAGUGGGGAAGCAGUUGCUGAUCUGAAAUAACUAUUCUCUCUUGCUGAAAAAUUGGUUUUUCAAAUGGCUUCAAUUUGAUGCAUCACUUCUUCGAGAUCUUGCUUACUACACUGAUACUUGAGGUCAGAAUUUCAUGGUUAUUACCAAAUAGAUGUUGAAAUUUACAUCAGUUUAAACUAUGAGUUAGGACCGUUUUUUACCAAAUAGAUAUUUUAAACCCUUUGAUGCUUAAUGUCACUGGAAUAUAAUUUAUGAUUAAUGGUUUGUGUAACAACAUUUUGUAAUAAUUGACAUUAACAAAUAGCAACUGGUGCAAUAGCAUUCAAUGCGUUAGAGAUCCUUUCUGUGGGACACUACAAAAUUUGACAUAUUACAACAUUCACUAGUUAUGAUUUCAAUUGUAGAAGAAUUUUACUGUAGGAAUUAGCAAUGCAUAGAUGGGUGUUGUCUCGAGAUUUCUUUGAGUAUGAAUUUAAGACUAAUUGAUGCACUUCUAACUCAUCUACAUAUCCCUUGCUAUCAAACACCAUUCUUACGCCAUCUUGUGUUGCUUGUAUUACCUUGAGUUCUUAUGAUUUUUUAUAUCACCCAUUCGGAAACACCAAAAAGAAGAAACUAAUCCUAUCAUUAAAGUUUGUUAACCUGCAAAGCCACACAACUUCCCACAAAAGUAAAAGUUUUUUAGUUUUAUGUUAGAACAAACUUGUACAUACUGUGCAAAACCUGAAUAAUUCAGUGAGCUAAAUCUGUGUAGAGACCAAUUUCCGUCGCUCAAAUUCCUUAAGCUGGCGAACAACAUAUUCAUGAGUAGUCUCAACCAUGAAAAGCACCUCAUAUCCCUUCCUUUUAAGCCUUUCCAGGAAGGGGGAGUUCUGAAAAUCAUUUUCCUUUUCCUAAUUCUAAUGUAGUUGUGAUGACAAAAUCCAAUUUAUAGCCACUUUAAUUUGUUUGCAAUGUGUAAUCACACCAUAUGAUGUUACCAGCGAUCCAUGAUGAGAAUAACCACAUAUCAUAGCAUUCCAUAUAACCACAUCCUUUUAUAAUCAUAGUAUAUGAAAAAUCAAUAUUUCCACUCUUGAAUUACAUAUUAAUUUUCUGCUUUGUUAAUGCUCUGCUUUGCAGCUUCAAAUUUAUCUUCAAAUUCAUGAUGUUUGAAUUGUAUGAUGUUUGUAUUCAGCAGAAUUUUGGUCAGAGUUGACUCUGUCGAAUUAGAAAAAUUUUGAUCAUGACCGACUCGAUCAAAUUCAAUCAAAUUUUAGUCAAUAUUGUCGAACUUUGCUGAAUUUCCAUCGAGGUUGAUUGCAUCAAAUUUUGAAGAAUUCGAGUCAAUGUUGACUUGGUCAAAUUCGACCAAAUUUAGGUUGUGGUAGAAAUGACUAAAUUUGGUCAAAUUUUGGUUGUGGUUAAGUCGGUCGAAUUUCGAUUGAGGCUGACUCAUUUGAUUUUGACCAAAUUUUGAUUAGAGUUCACUCAACCGAAUUUCUUGAUCAAAUUUGGUCGAUUUUUGAUCAUGGUUGACUCAGUUGAAUUUAGACAACUCAUUU
rnacentral:lncRNA from 1 species